AUUCCCUCGUCUAAUCUCAAAAAAAAAAAAAAGGAUCUUCAUUCUAAACUGAAACCUACGAAAUCUAUAAACCCACUCACUCCUUACUUCGACAACCGAUGACUUUCGGUCUACCCCUCUCGAUGAUGAGUGACGAACGAUGACGAUUUCUAGGCUUUGGUGAGAGGUUCAAGCGAACGAGGUUCUACUUAGGGAUGUCAGAGCCGGAAAAUCGAGUCUUGUUUUGCGUUUUGUUAAAGUGCAAUUCCUUGAGUUUCAGGAAUCUACCAUAGGAGCAGUUUUUUCUCCCAGACGGUGGCGGUGAAUGAUGCAACUGUAAAGUUUGAGAUUUGGGAUACCGCUGGCUAAGAGAGGUACUAUAGUUUGGCACCAAUGUAUUACAGGGGAGCUGCAGCUGCGAUAAUUGUUUACGAUACAACGAAUCAAGAUCAAAAGCUUUAAGAAUCAGUUGAUGUGUAUAAGCUGCUAGGGGAAUCUGUGAAUUCCAAGAAGUAGGAUAUAGGGUUUGAAGAACCCAAAGCUUUUAAAUCUAAGUUUGAGAAUUGCUGCCUAGUGGAUACGAGUACAUUCCUGAUGAAAAGAAUCAACUCAAGUUGCAGAUCAAUACAAAUUACCACUAGAAG